rnacentral:rRNA from 1 species
CCUACGGGAGGCAGCAGUAGGGAAUCUUUCACAAUGGGCGAAAGCCUGAUGGAGCAACGCCGCGUGCAGGAUGAAGGCCUUCGGGUUGUAAACUGCUUUUAUAAGCGAGAAAUAUGAUGGUAACUUAUGAAUAAGGAUCGGCGAACUUCGAGCCAGCAGCCGCGGUCAUACGUAGGAUCCGAGCAUUAUCCGGAGUGACUGGGUGUAAAGAGUUGCGUAGGGGGCCAAAUAAGUAGCUAGUGAAAUCUGCAGGCUCAACCAUUCAGACUAUUAGCUAAACUGUUAAGCUCGAGAGCGUUGAGGGUAACCGGAAUGCGUAGUGUAGGAGUGAAAUGCUUAGAUAUUACAAAGAACACCAAUAGCGUAGGCAGGAUGCUGCGACGCUUCUGACACUAAGGCUCGAAGGCGUAGGGAGCAAACGGGAUUAGAUACCCUGGUAGUC